UACGUAGGGCGCAAGCGUUAUCCGGAAUUAUUGGGCGUAAAGAGCUCGUAGGCGGCUUGUCGCGUCGGAUGUGAAAGCCCGGGGCUUAACUCCGGGUCUGCAUUCGAUACGGGCAGGCUAGAGUGUGGUAGGGGAGAUCGGAAUUCCUGGUGGAGCGGUGAAAUGCGUAGAGAUCGGAAAGAACACCAACGGCGAAAGCACUCUGCUGGGCCGACACUGACACUGAGAGACGAAAGCUAGGGGGAGCGAAUGGG
rnacentral:rRNA from 1 species